rnacentral:lncRNA from 1 species
CCCGGCAUCUUUCACCUGGCAUCUUCCUGCAUCUGCUAUUUGACUCUGGCCAUCUCGGGGUUUCACCCUGUUGGCCAGGCUGGUCUUAAACUUCUGACCUCAGAUGAUCUGCCCUCCUCAGCCUCCCUAAGUGCUGGAAUUACAGGCAUGAGCCACCGCACCCAGCUGUGGCCGUAGUUGUUAAGUCCCUAUCUCUGUCUCUUCCAGCCUUUGUGUCUGGUUCGAGUGACUGACUCUGUCUCUGUUUCUCUCCACUAGAACUAUGCAAAGGAGGGUUAGGACCCUAUUCUUCCUCUUGCACCCCACACCUUGUCCAUCAGCCAACAGAUCUAGAAUCUGCUCCCUCU